UACGUAGGUGGCAAGCGUUGUCCGGAAUUAUUGGGCGUAAAGCGCGCGCAGGCGGUCCUUUAAGUCUGAUGUGAAAGCCCACGGCUCAACCGUGGAGGGUCAUUGGAAACUGGGGGACUUGAGUGCAGAAGAGGAGAGCGGAAUUCCACGUGUAGCGGUGGAAUGCGCAGAUAUCAGGAAGAACACCCGUGGCGAAGGCGGCUCUCUGGAACGCAACUGACGCUGAGACGCGAAAGCGUGGGGAGCAAACAGG
rnacentral:rRNA from 1 species